rnacentral:rRNA from 1 species
UACGGAGGGUGUGAGCGUUGUCCGGAAUCACUGGGCGUAAAGGGCGCGUAGGCGGCCCGGGCAGUCCGUGGUGAAAGCUCAGCGCUCAACGCUGAGUCGGCCACGGAUACUCUUGGGCUGGAGCACACUAGAGGCGGAUGGAAUUCCGGGUGUAGCGGUGGAAUGCGUAGAGAUCCGGAAGAACACCGGUGGCGAAGGCGGUCCGCUGGGGUGUUGCUGACGCUGAGGCGCGACAGCGUGGGGAGCAAACAGG